rnacentral:rRNA from 1 species
UACGUAGGGGGCAAGCGUUGUCCGGAUUUACUGGGCGUAAAGCGCGCGUAGGCGGGAAGAGAAGUCCGGUGGGAAAGCCCACGGCUCAACCGUGGAAGGACGCUGGAAACUCUCUUUCUUGAGGGCGGCAGAGGGAAGUGGAAUUGCUGGUGUAUCGGUGAAAUGCGUAGAUAUCAGCAGGAACACCCGUGGCGAAGGCGGCUUCCUGGGCCGCACCUGACGCUGAGGCGCGAAAGCGUGGGGAGCGAACGGG